GCGUAACCCGUCGCUCCUCCCUCUGCGGGAGUGCCUGGACGGGGCACGAGAUUUGGAGCGUGGAAGGAACCUGGACCUAAAGGAAAUGUACACUAAAGUAUUCAGGGAUAACGAGCAAUUAAGUUGGCAACUUACCCUCAGAUGAUUCAGGGGAAAAAAAAAGGUCUUUUGGACUACACUUGCAACUUUUAUGGCUACUUAAUGGCCACUUCCCCGUCCCCUGCAUGUGGCUGAUUUGGGCUUCCUCACAAGAUGCUAGCUUUAGGGCAGUUGGAGUGCUGACAUGUCCAAGGUCCCAUCAUAAUCGUUCCAGAAAACAAGGCAGAAGCUGCAUCACCUUUCAGGCCCUAACCUCAGAAGUUACAAAGCAUCCCUUCUGCCACAUUCAGUUGGUCAACCAAGCGCAGGCACCUUGAGGUCCAAGGAUGGAACACGGGCCCCACCUCUCAAUGGGCUGUCUCCUGUGCUGUUUUCACAAAUGGGAAUUUUGAUUGUGGUCUUCCUACUGUGUAUCAGGUGUGUUGAGAGCUGAUAACCUGUCUUUGGUUUACAGGUUGCUGAACCACAAACAGCCACGUGAGGAACCAAUAGAGAGACCUUGAGUAGCUGAAGGGAUGUGCUGCUCCAGAGUCUGGUAGUUACUAAGAAAAGCUAUUCUCUUCUUCCUUUGAGAGGGGAGACUUCCUCACCUCCUUCUAUUUCACCUUCUCCCUCCCUGGCUUCCAGACAGGAAGGAGGCUAAAGGAAAAAAUAAAUACAAUAAAAUACCAAA